GUCCCCGUAGCUCAGUUGGAUAGAGCGACGGUUUCCUAAACCGUAGGUCACAGGUUCGAAUCCUGCCGGGGAUA
rnacentral:tRNA from 1 species